ACUGAACGCUGGCGGCAGGCCUAACACGUGCAAGUCGAGCGGAUGAAGGGAGCUUGCUCCUGGAUUCAGCGGCGGACGGGUGAGUAAUGCCUAGGAAUCUGCCUGGUAGUGGGGGAUAACGUCCGGAAACGGGCGCUAAUACCGCAUACGUCCUGAGGGAGAAAGUGGGGGAUCUUCGGACCUCACGCUAUCAGAUGAGCCUAGGUCGGAUUAGCUAGUUGGUGGGGUAAAGGCCUACCAAGGCGACGAUCCGUAACUGGUCUGAGAGGAUGAUCAGUCACACUGGAACUGAGACACGGUCCAGACUCCUACGGGAGGCAGCAGUGGGGAAUAUUGGACAAUGGGCGAAAGCCUGAUCCAGCCAUGCCGCGUGUGUGAAGAAGGUCUUCGGAUUGUAAAGCACUUUAAGUUGAGAGGAAGGGCAGUAAGUUAAUACCUUGCUGUUUUGACGUUACCAACAGAAUAAGCACCGGCUAACUUCGUG
rnacentral:rRNA from 1 species